GGCGACGGUUGUCCCGGUUUAAGCAUGUAGGCUGGUUAUCCAGGCAAAUCCGGAUAAUCAAGGCUGAGGUGUGAUGACGAGGCACUACGGUGCUGAAGUAACAAAUGCCCUGCUUCCAGGAAAAGCCUCUAAGCAUCAGGUAACAUCAAAUCGUACCCCAAACCGACACAGGUGGUCAGGUAGAGAAUACCAAGGCGCUUGAGAGAACUCGGGUGAAGGAACUAGGCAAAAUGGUGCCGUAACUUCGGGAGAAGGCACGCUGGUGUGUAGGUGAAGUCCCUGCGGAUGGAGCUGAGACCAGUCGAAGAUACCAGCUGGCUGCAACUGUUUAUUAAAAACACAGCACUGUGCAAACACGAAAGUGGACGUAUACGGUGUGACGCCUGCCCGGUGCCGGAAGGUUAAUUGAUGGGGUUAUCCGUAAGGAGAAGCUCUUGAUCGAAGCCCCGGUAAACGGCGGCCGUAACUAUAACGGUCCUAAGGUAGCGAAAUUCCUUGUCGGGUAAGUUCCGACCUGCACGAAUGGCGUAAUGAUGGCCAGGCUGUCUCCACCCGAGACUCAGUGAAAUUGAACUCGCUGUGAAGAUGCAGUGUACCCGCGGCAAGACGGAAAGACCCCGUGAACCUUUACUAUAGCUUGACACUGAACAUUGAGCCUUGAUGUGUAGGAUAGGUGGGAGGCUUUGAAGCGUGGACGCCAGUCUGCGUGGAGCCAACCUUGAAAUACCACCCUUUAAUGUUUGAUGUUCUAACGUUGGCCCCUGACCGGGGUUGCGGACAGUGUCUGGUGGGUAGUUUGACUGGGGCGGUCUCCUCCCAAAGCGUAACGGAGGAGCACGAAGGUUAGCUAAUCCUGGUCGGACAUCAGGAGGUUAGUGCAAUGGCAUAAGCUAGCUUGACUGCGAGCGUGACGGCGCGAGCAGGUGCGAAAGCAGGUCAUAGUGAUCCGGUGGUUCUGAAUGGAAGGGCCAUCGCUCAACGGAUAAAAGGUACUCCGGGGAUAACAGGCUGAUACCGCCCAAGAGUUCAUAUCGACGGCGGUGUUUGGCACCUCGAUGUCGGCUCAUCACAUCCUGGGGCUGAAGUAGGUCCCAAGGGUAUGGCUGUUCGCCAUUUAAAGUGGUACGCGAGCUGGGUUUAGAACGUCGUGAGACAGUUCGGUCCCUAUCUGCCGUGGGCGCUGGAGAAUUGAGGGGGGCUGCUCCUAGUACGAGAGGACCGGAGUGGACGCAUCACUGGUGUUCGGGUUGUCAUGCCAAUGGCACUGCCCGGUAGCUAAAUGCGGAAGAGAUAAGUGCUGAAAGCAUCUAAGCACGAAACUUGCCCCGAGAUGAGUUCUCCCUGAGACUAUAAGUCUCCUGAAGGAACGUU
rnacentral:rRNA from 1 species